GGUGAUAGUGGACUGCAUGACGGACAUCAGAAGGAGACAAGUGAAAACGGUCUUUGAGCAGUGCUGGCUUGUCAAUCAUAGCAAGCAUGCGUUAUCAUGACACUGGGAGUGAAGUUAACCCUCCUGACCUCAUCUCUGUACCUCUCAGCUGUUGCUUUGUGGGAUUGCUAAGGAUGAGGCCGAAGCCAUCAUGUCUCUGGACACAAAUGGAGGUUUUGCAAGAAAAAUUAUUUUGAGAUCCAAAAAAUAAUUGGUGGACCCCUACAGUACCAUUACGGACCCCCUGUUGAAGAACCCUGAUCCAAACAGAAACGUUAUGUUAAUGUUUUCUAGAUGAUAAAAGACAAGAGUUUCAGGAGCAGAGGAUGCCUUGUGGUUCCAUGUUGAGUAAUUCAUAUGAUAACUGAGGUUUGGGACCUCAUGAAAGGCUUAAAACAUGACUGCCUUUUUCAGUCCGGAUUUCUGGUGACAGUCACUACAGAUUAUAGACCUCAAAAGGUGCGAAGACAGUGCUGCCUAUGUGUGGUUCAGAUAACCUCGGAUUUCAUCAAAAAUAUCUUAAUUUGUGUUCCAAAGAUGAACGAAGGUCUUAUGGGUGUGGAACGACAUGAG